CCCUUAGAUGUUCUGGGCCGCACGCGCGCUACACUGAUGCACUCAACGAGUCUCGCCUUGACCGAAAGGUCCGGGAAACCUUCGAACUUGCAUCGUGAUGGGGAUAGAUUAUUGCAACUAUUAAUCUUCAACGAGGAAUACCUAGUAAGCGCAUGUCAUCAGCGUGCGUUGAUUACGUCCCUGCCCUUUGUACACACCGCCCGUCGCUCCUACCGAUUGAAUGAUCCGGUGAGCUUUUUGGACAGUGGCAUCGGUAGUGGUUCGCCACUCUGACGCUGCGGGAAGAUGCGCAAACCUUAUCAUUUAGAGGAAGGAGAANUCGUANCA
rnacentral:rRNA from 1 species